UAGUGAUUUUAAUACACCUAUUAUUAAUAAAUACAACUUAUUUUAUUGCAGCCACAUAUUGGUAUCAUUCGUCGAUUGAGGCUCAUUAGAAUGUUAUUAGAAAUCCUAGAUAUUAAUUGAAGGUUAGAGUAAGAAACUGAACUUUCGUCCACGAUAACACAAAUGUGACUUUUUUGUGUUUCUCUUACGAUAUUAAAGAUCUUGUUGCUCAAUAGAAAUAAAAAUGAAAUAUGAACACUUGAAGAUCAUAAAAAAAUUAAUUAGUCUGCGGCAUUGCAAAAUGUUUUCAAUUACGGAACAAAAUUUGCAUGAUCAUCCCGUGACUAUCUGAAUAUUUCAGUUGAAUUACGCAAAUGCGGAUGUAAAAAAAGGUGAUAUCACGAUUACAUUGCGUAUUCUUCUGUUAUUUGACGUUUCUGAGGUUAAAUGAGAUUCAUGAGAAGCUCUAUUUUAAUAGUUUUAUUAGCAUAUUGCACUUAAGUAAAUAUCAAGUGUUAUCUAUACUGAUAACAUAUUGCAUAAGAUUGUUACGCGUUAAUUAAGAAAAUCUGUGAUUAGCGGUUUGAAUAACUCGUCUUUCUUAGUAUGGCCUAUGAAAUCUUAUUCUGGUUAAAAACUCUUUUGUUUAUUUUGUUAAAAAAAUUUUUACAGAUUUCAUUUUUUCAGGCAUAUUCUGUUGUUUUCAAAAAUAUAGUUCUGUGACAUUGUCUUAAGGCUGAGUUCGCUAUAUCCAUAAGUCGAACCAAACGUAUGGAGACACAGGUCGAUGAUAAGAUACCUGCCGACGUGAUAAAUCGAUUCCAAACUCAAAACUGAUUCGUAGCGGUAUCUUUCGAAGAAGACCACGCCGAUAUGGGCAACGACCUCGUGCCGAGCGAUUCACAAGGAGUUUGUGCUUUUAGUUCUAAUUUUAUUUUACAGACUGAUGCACGUUCUUUGUGUUUUCAAUGGAAACGUUCAUCGAUUUUGGCGAUACCGAUCAACAUGGAAACUCGAAGAAAAUGAUGGAUCGUGGCACUCGGUUAAAUGGAGAACACUCCUGCGGACGCAGAAAGGGUGUAUCAUAAUUUAAGACCUGUUCGCUGCGCUGAUGCUAGUUCGCUGAGUAGGUGUUACGAUUGAUGGUUGUUGGGAGUUUGAACAUGUUUUCUACGGUGAAGUUUUGUGGUUAACACCAGGUCUGGAGGAAUCAUUCUGAGAAUUUACGGCGAGCUUGUUGCCAAAACCACUGGUGUAAAGAAAGGGAACUCGCAGACAUAAAGGAGACGGAGACUUGCGACGAUAAUGGCCCUCUCAGACGAAGAAGUUAAUUUGGGAAAGAGGAUUCCGUCGCGGACAAAACGCUUGUAAUCCUUAACAAAGGGUGGUCUCAACUUCCCUAGCCUGCGUUGUCCCGAGGAUGGUAAUCUGCAAAGAGGGAGAACGGUCCCUCCAAGUUGAUUCUUCGUUCCUCGUGUUUGACAGUGGGGGAGGUUUGUUAUCGACGGACAACGUUUUAAGAAUUUUUGUUUGAUUGGAAUCAAAGGUGUCAAUAUAUGCAUUGCUUUUUAAUAAUAAUAUUGAUUUAAGGAGGAAGAAAUGAACUUUAUUGUAAAAAUAAAUUUCCCUUUUAUCGUAUUGAACAAUGUAUUUAUAUCUCUAUACUGUUCAAGAUAAUUAAAGGAUUGUUUUCUGUGAUUUUUAUAUUCUUGUUUGAUUGGAAUCAAAGGUGUCAAUAUAUGCAUUGCUUUUUAAUAAUAAUAUUGAUUUAGGGAGGAAGAAAUGGACUUUAUUGUAAAAAUAAAUUUCCCUUUU
rnacentral:lncRNA from 1 species